rnacentral:SRP_RNA from 2 species
GCUGGAGGGCUUGAGAGGUGGAGAGCUUUCGAACCAGGUCAGGACGGGAACGUAGCAGCCUUAAGAUUGCUCCCAAGCUUUCAAGUCCCCUUCAGCUUU